rnacentral:rRNA from 1 species
AGUGAACGCUGGCGGUAGGCCUAACACAUGCAAGUCGAACGGCAGCACAGUAAGAGCUUGCUCUGACGGGUGGCGAGUGGCGGACGGGUGAGGAAUACAUCGGAAUCUACUUUUUCGUGGGGGAUAACGUAGGGAAACUUACGCUAAUACCGCAUACGACCUACGGGUGAAAGCAGGGGAUCUUCGGACCUUGCGCGAUUGAAUGAGCCGAUGUCGGAUUAGCUAGUUGGCGGGGUAAAGGCCCACCAAGGCGACGAUCCGUAGCUGGUCUGAGAGGAUGAUCAGCCACACUGGAACUGAGACACGGUCCAGACUCCUACGGGAGGCAGCAGUGGGGAAUAUUGGACAAUGGGCGCAAGCCUGAUCCAGCAAUGCCGCGUGAGUGAAGAAGGCCUUCGGGUUGUAAAGCCCUUUUGUUGGGAAAGAAAAGCAGCAGGUUAAUCCCCCGCUGUUCUGACGGUACCCAAAGAAUAAGCACCGGCUAACUUCGUG